UUAACAACAAAUAAAAGGAAACUUGGCAGAAAUCCACACCCUGGGACUACCUUGGAACUCCUUUCCUUGUCUGAUGUGUGUGUUUAACAAAGAUGUGAGAAAUACCUGCCAGGUCUCUUCGUGCUGGAGCCAAGAAGACAGAAGCCACCCAGCAUUGUGAGCACGUCUGCUUGUGUGCAAACCCGCAGGCAUUUUUAGCAACUUUGGGGAACAUAAAGAAAGCUGUUGGUUUUGUUUGCACAUAUUUUUUGCCUCUGCAGAAGGCUUCUCACCAAGCGGCAGCCUCAGAGUUGCCUUCUAUUUGAUCUUAAGACACACAGAGUCAUUACAGCUCACUAGCUGAGCUACAGUUGGCAAACUGCUUAACCUGCUCUUACUUCUGUUGUUGGGAAAACGAAUCUGAUGAUAAAAGUCUCUGCCUCUCAGAGUGGCUGUGGGAAUUAAAUUCAGAAAUGCCAGCCUGCCUGUGAGGCUUUGAGACUGGAAGGAGGCAGCUUGGGGAGGAGAAGGCCUUGUUAGAAUCUGAAGGAGCUGGGAUUCCAGUCCAUCAGCUGCAGAACCUUUGGCAGGUUCAGAGUCUGGCUUGCAGACAAGGUACAGAUGGAAAUCUUCCUGGACUCAGGCCAAGAAGAGGAGAAAGGCCCUGUGCCCAUCCUGCUGUGAUUCAGGAGUCUCGCAGAAGACAUCAGAAUGCCUUUCUCUGAGUCACAGUCUGUAUCUUCUAGAAAAGGCUGUCCAUCUUCACCCCAAGCCCACUGGCUCCUGAGAUACGACAUCCAGACCCAGUGCAGCUGGACCUGGCCCAGGAAGAUCAUGCGGUUUCUGGGAAGCACUGGAGAAGGAAAAGGCUGAAGAAAGGAAGACCGGAAAAGAAAUACAAGUCCUUCCGCCUUGGCAAAGAUGAUAGUACCGUUCCCUUCAGUGUUCCGGUUCUGCUCUAUUGGAUAAGUUCCGGUUUGACUAUGACUACGUGAAAAUGUGGAACCAGACCUUCACCCCACAUUCCAGCUCCAGCUCUACCACAGAGGAAGUGCAAUAUCACCUUAGUUAUUCAACACAUUAUGCUCCUCGUGAUACAACCAGAGUUCACAUCAGCAAUCUUGGCAGCUCUCACCACGCUGCUGACUCACGACUCUCUCAUGUCCCAAUUUCCUGUCCAUUGUUCUUUCCUCUACUUGGCCUGAUUUCUAAAGGCCUCUCUUGGUUGCAUUAAGCGGGAUUCCUGAGGGAUUCCCUUGGCAGUUACCUUGGGGGAGCUCUUAGGUUUGGGGCUGAUCCAUGUCCUCUAAAUGUAGGACUUCAAAGCUCCCAAAGAUAGGCAGGCCCAGUGGGAAGCUGGGAAAUGCUCUCUGACCCCUCUGGGAGGGCUGGCAGUCAGAGGGCCUUUUGGAAAGAGUCAGACCUGAUCCAUAAGUCCCUGGAAAACACCCUGCCCAGGGAGCAAAUGCCACUGUGGCCUUGACUGAGGCUUCAGAAGAGUUUGGGAGCUGCAAUUCAUCCACACACGCAUUCAUUUUCAAGUAGUGGUUUGCAGUUCAGGCUUUGGAGCCACAUAAGCCUGGCUUCAAAGCCACUUUCCAGCUUUGUAGGAAGUCUCUACAUUUUUAAACCUCCAUUUUUUUUUCCUGUAAAACUGGGGUCUUCAUGGUACUUAACUUCAUCGUGAUGUUGAGAGAAUGAAAAGAAAAAGGAUAAAUAAAUGGCUUAGCCUCGUGCCUUGGCA
rnacentral:lncRNA from 1 species